rnacentral:lncRNA from 10 species
GCCACACGCAGUAAGGACUCAGCUUGCCGAAUGAAAUUUAUUCUCUAAGCCUACAUUCCCCUACUUUUUAAAAGGAAGAUUUUUAAGAAACUACUCAGCACUAAUGUGAUGACUACUUAGUUUUCAAGAAAGACAUUCAUCUGCUUUAGGGCGUACCAGCUUUCUACUUCUAAAAGAUGCUCUGUGCCAUUCAGAAUUUACAGAGCAACACUAAAACAGGCCUGUUGCCUUGAUUUCUCAGAGGGCUUCAAACACCGAUAUUGCUGGGGGUCAGAGGCUUGUUGCUAAAACCCAUUUGGGGCUGUUUUGGAAAUGUGGGCUCACUGAAGCCAUAUUGGCUUUAAAAUAUCACUCUGUGCAGGAUGUUGCAUGGAUGCUGAUAGAAAUAGAUCUAAUAUUUUUUAAACCCCAAACAUGCUCAAAUGAACCUUAGACUAGAAUCUCAAACGGCUGUUUUCUUAGUUUCUUCCAACCUUUUUUUUUUUCUCUCUUGGCACGUCAGUGACUAAUAAAUUGCAGCAAAGCUUGAGUUUAUACUAGCUCAUAGGUGAUUACACUGGACAAGUAGUUUUCCCAAACCCUAGGGCCCCUUGGAAAAUGAAAUAACCCACAUAUGGAAGGAAUCAGCCAACAGAGGGGCCUCUACCUACCUGCAUUCUCUAGCUGCUGAAACUGUGUUUUGAUAAGAUAAGAGGAAACAGGGCAAGAAGGAACUUAGAGUCCUAGAAACUGAACUAUAGCUCUUGUUGCUGUAAAGCCCUCAUCAAACAGGUCUGGCACAAAGAAGGGGUCCUUAAUUUGUCAAGUACUAAGCAUUCAAUGAAGAACAAAAAGGCCUGGCUCCUACCUGAAGAACUUUCAUCUUAUGGAUCACAGACAAAAAUAGGCCAUUACAAGAAAGGGUGUUAAGUGCUUACAGUAACAACAGUCGUGAGGUAUUUGGACCCAGAAAUCCUACUUCUAGAAAUCUAUCCUAAGGAAAUACUGUGUAAAUCAUGUCUGCAUUUCAGAUAUGAUUUGUUCACUCAGCGAACAUUAUUGGCAGACCAAAUUCAUGCCAAUAUGGUUCACCCAGUGCUUUGCUUCACUGUGAAAAAAUUGUGGAAAGAGUAGAAAAACUGUAUUUAGCCAAUUUGCUAUAAUAAAAAUAAUAGAAAACACAAU